AUGCCUAAGAUAAAGACGAGCCGUGUGAAGUAUCCUGAAGGAUGGGAGCUUAUUGAACCAACUCUCCGUGAUUUGGAAGCCAAAAUGAGAGAAGCCGAGAACGAUACACAUGAUGGGAAGAGGAAGUGUGAGGCUCUCUGGCCAAUCUUCCGUAUUUCUCACCAAAAGAGCCGUUAUAUAUAUGAUCUCUACUAUCGAAGGAAGGAGAUAAAAAGGGAGCUGUAUGAGUUUUGCUUGGACCAAGGUUAUGCAGACAAAAAUCUGAUUGCUAAAUGGAAAAAGACUUACAGUAUGUUGGAUCAUGUUCAGUUCUCUCUCAGACAGAGAAGUGCCCCUGCUCCUGACCUGUGCAAUUGGACAUAUUGCCUGAAUAUCAAGUACCCCAUGAUGAUUUUUUGUUACUGGUGUGCUGUUGUAACUGCUCGUAUUUGCUACAGACUUACAGUAUGUUGGAUCAUGUUCAGUUCUCUCUCUAGUUUGUAUAGUAAUCACCAGAGUUUACCAAGUUUCAAUGCUAAGGUUACCUUGUAA
rnacentral:rRNA from 1 species